UACGAAGGGGGCUAGCGUUGCUCGGAAUCACUGGGCGUAAAGGGUGCGUAGGCGGGUCUUUAAGUCAGGGGUGAAAUCCUGGAGCUCAACUCCAGAACUGCCUUUGAUACUGAAGAUCUUGAGUUCGGGAGAGGUGAGUGGAACUGCGAGUGCAGAGGUGAAAUUCGUAGAUAUUCGCAAGAACACCCGUGGCGAAGGCGGCAUCCUGGACCGGCAUUGACGCUGAACAGCGAAAGCUAGGGGAGCAAACAGG
rnacentral:rRNA from 1 species